AGUAAAGUCAGCUAACUAAGCUCUUGGGCCCAUACCCCAAAAAUGUAGGUUAAACUCCUUCCUUUACUA
rnacentral:tRNA from 2 species